rnacentral:rRNA from 1 species
GAUGAACGCUGGCGGCGUGCCUAAUACAUGCAAGUCGAGCGAACAGACGAGGAGCUUGCUCCUCUGACGUUAGCGGUGGACGGGUGAGUAACACGUGGAUAACCUACCUAUAAGACUGGGAUAACUUCGGGAAACCGGAGCUAAUACCGGAUAACAUGUUGAACCGCAUGGUUCAACAGUGAAAGACGGUCUUGCUGUCACUUAUAGAUGGAUCCGCGCCGCAUUAGCUAGUUGGUAAGGUAACGGCUUACCAAGGCAACGAUGCGUAGCCGACCUGAGAGGGUGAUCGGCCACACUGGAACUGAGACACGGUCCAGACUCCUACGGGAGGCAGCAGUAGGGAAUCUUCCGCAAUGGGCGAAAGCCUGACGGAGCAACGCCGCGUGAGCGAAGAAGGUCUUCGGAUCGUAAAACUCUGUUAUUAGGGAAGAACAAAUGUGUAAGUAACUAUGCACGUCUUGACGGUACCUAAUCAGAAAGCCACGGCUAACUACGUG